GGCUUCGUAGAUCAGUGUUGACCACUCUCUUCAUCUGUGUUUUCGAGUCGGGAGACAUGCGGGUUCGACUCCCGCCGAAGCCC